GACGAACGCUGGCGGCGUGCCUAAUACAUGCAAGUCGAGCGGACUUUCAAGAAGCUCGCUUUUUGAAAGUUAGCGGCGGACGGGUGAGUAACACGUGGGCAACCUGCCUGUAAGACGGGGAUAACUCCGGGAAUCCGGGGCUAAUACCGGAUAAUAUCUUUCUUCGCAUGAAGGAAGGUUGAAAGGCGGCGCACGCUGCCGCUUGCAGAUGGGCACGCGGGGCAUUAGCCAGUUGGUGAGGUAACGGCUCACCAAGGCGACGAUGCGUAGCCGACCGGAGAGGGUGAUCGGCCACACUGGGACUGAGACACGGCCCAGACUCCUACGGGAGGCAGCAGUAGGGAAUCUUCCGCAAUGGACGAAAGUCUGACGGAGCAACGCCGCUUGAGCGAAGAAGGUCUUCGGAUCGUAAAGCUCUGUUGUCAGGGAAGAACAAGUACCGUUCGAAUAGGGCGGUACCUUGACGGUACCUGACCAGAAAGUCACGGCUAACUACGUGCCAGCCGCCGCAGUAA
rnacentral:rRNA from 1 species